ACUCUAUUUCUUUUUUUGUAUAAGAAUGUAUUUACUUGAUUGUAAAGCUUCUUAGAGGGACAUUGUGUGUCUAACACAAGGAAGUUUAAGGCAACAACAGGUCUGUGAUGUCCUUAGAUGAACUAGGCUGCACGCGUGCUACACUGAUAUAUAUAACGAGUUAUUAAAAAUAUACGAAUGUAUAUAUAUUUUAUAUAUAUACAUUUUGUAUAAUUUUCCUCCACUGAAAAGUGUAGGUAAUCUUUAUCAAUAUAUAUCGUGAUGGGGAUAGAUUAUUGCAAUUAUUAAUCUUGAACGAGGAAUGCCUAGUAAGCAUGAUUCAUCAGAUUGUGCUGACUACGUCCCUGCCCUUUGUACACACCGCCCGUCGCUCCUACCGAUUGAAAGAUAUGAUGAAUUGUUUGGACAAGAAGAAAUAAAAUUUAUAUUUUGUUUUUUUUUGGAAAAACCGUAAAUCCUAUCUUUUAAAGGAAGGAGAAGUCGUAACAAGGUUUCCGUAGGUGAACCUGCGGAAGGAUCAUUAUUAUGA